rnacentral:lncRNA from 1 species
UCGGAGAUUGUGUCGCGGACUAUGUCGAGGAAUCUUGGGCAGGACUUUGAGUAGAAGUCGGUGGUCAGGCGAGAGUCGACGGUGGUGGUGAGUAGAGUGAGGAGGAGGAGAAGGAGGGAGAGGGAGGAGAGAGGUUUGAGUGGCGACUGUUCCCCCAUUGUUGUAGAGAGAGAGAGAGUAAUGAGACUUUAGUGGAGCUAGAGAGAGAGAUGGGCUUGUGAUUAUAUUGGAAGGAAGAAGAUGAAGAAAGUGAGAGUGAGAGUGAAGGCCACGCGCCGAUGUGAAGCAC